CACGUAGGGUGCGAGCGUUGUCCGGAAUUAUUGGGCGUAAAGAGCUCGUAGGCGGUGUGUCGCGUCGGCCGUGAAAACUUGCAGCUUAACUGUGAGCUUGCGGUCGAUACGGGCAUCACUAGAGUUCGGCAGGGGAGACUGGAAUUCCUGGUGUAGCGGUGAAAUGCGCAGAUAUCAGGAGGAACACCGGUGGCGAAGGCGGGUCUCUGGGCCGAUACUGACGCUGAGGAGCGAAAGCGUGGGGAGCGAACAGG
rnacentral:rRNA from 1 species